AUUGAACGCUGGCGGCAGGCCUAACACAUGCAAGUCGAGCGGCAGCGGGACCUUCGGGUUGCCGGCGAGCGGCGGACGGGUGAGUAAUGCCUAGGAAUCUGCCUGUUAGUGGGGGAUAACGCGGGGAAACUCGCGCUAAUACCGCAUACGUCCUACGGGAGAAAGCGGGGGCUCUUCGGACCUCGCGCUAACAGAUGAGCCUAGGUCGGAUUAGCUAGUUGGUGGGGUAAUGGCCCACCAAGGCGACGAUCCGUAACUGGGCUGAGAGGAUGAUCAGUCACACUGGAACGGAGACACGGUCCAGACUCCUACGGGAGGCAGCAGUGGGGAAUAUUGGACAAUGGGCGAAAGCCUGAUCCAGCCAUGCCGCGUGUGUGAAGAAGGUCUUCGGAUUGUAAAGCACUUUAAGUCGGGAGGAAGGGCUGUAGGCUAAUACCUUGCAGUUUUGACGUUACCGACAGAAUAAGCACCGGCUAACUUCGUGCCAGCCGCCGCCGUAA
rnacentral:rRNA from 1 species